CACAGUGCCUGGCAUGCCCAGUACAGUCACAUCAACAACUGACAGACCAUGCUGUCUACAGCAGGAAGGCAAGAAGUGAUCCCAGCCUCCAGAUGGAAAGAUCAAGGCCCAGAGAAGGACCCCCAUACCCUGCUCCCAGCAUCGUCUGCCUCAGCUAAGCCAUGGGGAUUGAGAGAAUGGAGCUAAAGGGCACAGCUCAUAGUCCUGGCUGCCCUAGCCAGACAUCUGCCCCACUGUGGGUGCC